rnacentral:rRNA from 1 species
GGGCCCGCACAAGCGGUGGAGCAUGUGGUUUAAUUCGAUGAUACGCGAGGAACCUUACCAGGGCUUAAAUGUAGUCUGACGUACUUGGAAAUAGAUUUUUCUUCGGACACUUAACAGGUGCUGCAUGGUUGUCGUCAGCUCGUGCCGUGAGGUGUCAGUUAAGUCCUAUAACGAGCGCAACCCCUGUUGUUAGUUGCCAGCGAGUAAUGUCGGGAACUCUAGCAAGACUGCCGUGCAAACCGUGAGGAAGGUGGGAUGACGUCAAAUCAUCACGGCCCUUACGUCCUGGGCCACACACGUGCUACAAUGGUAGGUACAGAGAGCAGCCACGUCGCAAGGCGGAGC